GACGAACGCUGGCGGCGUGCUUAACACAUGCAAGUCGAACGGAAAGGCCCUGCUUUUGUGGGGUGCUCGAGUGGCGAACGGGUGAGUAACACGUGAGUAACCUGCCCUUGACUUUGGGAUAACUUCAGGAAACUGGGGCUAAUACCGGAUAGGAGCUCCUGCUGCAUGGUGGGGGUUGGAAAGUUUCGGCGGUUGGGGAUGGACUCGCGGCUUAUCAGCUUGUUGGUGGGGUAGUGGCUUACCAAGGCUUUGACGGGUAGCCGGCCUGAGAGGGUGACCGGCCACAUUAGGACUGAGAAACGGCCCAGACUCCUACGGGAGGCAGCAGUGGGAAAUAUUGCACAAUGGGCGGAAGCCUGAUGCAGCAACGCCGCGUGCGGGAUGACGGCCUUCGGGUUGUAAACCGCUUUCGCCUGUGACGAAGCGUGAGUGACGGUAAUAGGUAAAGAAGCACCGGCUAACUACGUG
rnacentral:rRNA from 1 species